GUCUUUUAUCGUCUCUAGAGGACAAUGAGCUUGAGAGGGAACAAAAUUUGUCUGAACUCAAUCAGUAUUAGCACUGCAAUAGGAAAAACAGUAGCUUUGUAAAGUCGAAGAGAGAUAAGAGUAGAGAGAAAAAUAUUGUAACUUGUAUAAAAUCGGAAAGAGAGACAACAUGCAUCAGAAGAGAGGGGAAAAUUUUGUCUAUACCUUUUCAAAACUGGGACUUACAAACUCCAGUUUGCUCCGUCGAAAGAGAGGAGGGAGUGGAAACACUUUACAAAUUACAAGGAUUAGUAUUUGCCAAACUUUGGCAAAACAAAAAAGGCAGAAUUGCCUAAUAGAUACCUGUAUUUUUACCGAUUUGACAUUUCGGUCCCUUUACUUGACGAAUUUUCAAGUGAAUACUUGAACUUGUUCAAAAUUGAUAUUAUAAACACCUCCAAAAUCUGCCUGAUGCUCACUUGGCUAAGGUGGAUGACACAUCAAUGUCCAUAUCUGAUUUCUAUGAUAAAAUAAUAUUAUUUUUUUACAUUAUUUAAAAAAAUUCUAAUUUCGUUUUAUGUUUCGCUCCACCAUAGUUUCGAUACAUACUUGAAAAUUAUAGCCAAAGUAAACGAUCCCGUCAAAUAUUUUUACUCAAUAUUAAAAAAACUUGAAUCUUCAUUCACUGGACGAUAAGAACAUGACAUUUUUUUUCUGUCACGCCAUUUCAUGGAAAGAACAAAUGGAAUCUUGAAAAUUGCAGUCAAAUUAAACGAGAUCCAUCAAGAAUCUUAACCCAACUUUAAGAAAUUUGGAAUCUUUAUUUACUAGAUUACCAAAAGAUGAAGAAAAAACGGGUUCUUGCAUGUAUAAUUCAAACUUUCUUCUCCCUUCAAUCACAGUACACUCAACCGAAUAGAAAAGCUGAGGCAUACCCAAAUUAGAAAUAAUGUAAAGAUAACUGAAUAUGCAACCAAGUACGGAAUACCCACCAAAAACCUCUUGAUCUGAGAUUGAUAAUCUAGGCAAAUAAAUCCAUUUGUUUCAGUAUGGAUGAAGAGUCAACUCUCACGCUUCUAUGUAGUUAAAACAGGAAAUCAAUUGAAUCUUCGGAGGUUCCACUUAAACUCCUUUGAACGAAUGGAGGGAGAAAGAUCUUUUAAUGUGUUUUUCGCUCUAAUUAGAUCACUGGUAGGAAAUAGAAUAGCGUUAGAAGAAAUGGGAAAAUUGGAAACAAAUAAGAAAAAGAAAACGAAAAAUGGCCAAAAUUAUCCUUGGCGUAUUGAAAAUAGCACCCAAGUACCCUUCGUUAAUCUUUUGAUCUAUAUAUGUCCUUAACGUUUUGUUUGGGUUCGAAUAUACCCUUAUAACUAACGGACCAAACCUUGUCAAUUUGGCACUACAAAAAUAGCCAUAUGGCACUUUAUAAACUUGCGCUAUGUAUUAUUUUGUAUUCAAAUUAAACCUACACGUUUCUUAAGUCCAACCCGGUUUGACCCUUUACCCAUGGACAUAAUGGUGAUUUGUAGACAUUUUCUAAUUUUGCUUCUUUUCUUCUUCCCCAACUGAUAUAAAUUCUUUCCGCCGGCAAAGAAGAAGAUUCAUAUGAUAUGUGAUUAAUCUAUUUUAACUGCAAACUAUUAGGAGAGAGCUUUGAAGCUGAUCUCCAAAAGCUACACUACAUUAAUAUGUUACUAUUCUAUUUUUAUCAGGUGUAGAAAUCUGUUUAAAUAAAAAUGCCCACUAUCUCUCCAAAUCCCACUCCUCCGUUCUCUUUCGUAUCUAAAUCGUUGUGAUAGUCCCCAAUUUUCAUUUAAAAUGGAAUCGCAAAAGAGAAACCCCGUAAAAAGACGACAUUGCUAAUUGACGGUGUAGUAUACGAGGACGAGCAUCAUAGAUGUAGUGUCAUAACCUUUCUUAGUAUGCACAUCAUUGCUUGAAUACACCACUUAUUGCUUUCUAAUCCAAUCUCCACCAUGAUGAAAGAUUAAAUCAACUAAUACCAUUGAUAAUAGGCUACAUAAUAAGAAUAAAAAAAGUAAUUAGCUAAAUACCAGAAGACAACAUAAAUACAUAGAAUAUAGAAAACAGAAGUACAACACAUUAAAAAAAUACUUCAAAACCACUCGAGAAUCUCAAGUCUCUAAAGCAAUCCGCCUGGCCUCUGAUGCUCAUACUUAACAUGUUGACAGUUUAAGCGCUGAGCCACAUACUCUACUAUAUCUUUCUUCAUUCUUCUCCACCAAUAAUGCUGCCUCAAGUCCUGAUACAUCUUCACGGCACCUGGGUGAAUGGAAUACCGCGAACUGUGGGUCUCCUCAAGAAUCAACUCGCGCAACCAAUCUACAUUGGGCACAGAAAUCCGACCCUGCAUCCUCAACACCCCAACAUCUCCAACAGAAGCCUCCUUGGCAUCACUGUGUUGCACCGUGUCCUUAAGGACAAGCAAAUGGGGGUCGUCAUACUGACGCUCUCUGAUGCGCUCAUACAAAGAAGAGAGAGAAAUCACGCAAGCAAGAACUUAGGCAGGCUCUGAAACAUCUAACCUCACGAAUUAAUUGGCCAAGGCAUGAACAUCCAAUACUAGCGGUCUCUCACCAACUGAAAUAUAUGCAAGGCUACCCAUACUCUCCGCCUUUCUACUCAAGGCACCGGCCACCAUAUUGACCUUCUCAAGAUGAUACAAAUUGUGAUAUUAUAGUCUUUUAACAGCUCAAACCAUCCCCGCUGCUUCACAUUUAGAUCCUUCUACUUAAACAAGUGUUGUAGACUCCGAUGAUCUGUAAAUACCUCACAAGACACGUCGUAGAGAUAAUGCCUCCAAAUCUUUAAUGCAUGAAUAAUGGCUGCCGACUUUAAAUCAUGAACGGGGUAAUUCUUCUCAUGGGUCUUUAACUGGUGCGAAGCAUAAGCAAUCACCCUAACCCCUGCAUCAAGACACACCUAAUAGCAAUCCGAGAAGCAUCACAAUAAACCAUAUAUGAACCCGAUGCUGAAGGCAAACUAGAACUGGAGUUGUCGUUAGGGUAGUCUUGAGCUUCUGAAAUUUCUCCUCACACUCAUCAAACCACCUGAAUAAGGCACCAUUCUGGGUCAAUCUAGUCAAAGGUGCAGCAAUGGACGAGAAACCCUAUACAAAAUGGCGAUAGUAACCUGCCAAACCCAAGAAACUCCGAAUCUCUGUAGUUGAAGACGGUCUAGGCCAACUUUGAAAUGCCUCAAUCUUCUUCGGAUAUACCUUGAUCCCCUCACUAGACACCACGUGGACCAAGAAUGCCACCAAGUCAAUCCAGAACUCACACUUGGAGUAUUUAGCAUAUAGCUUCUUCUCCCUCAAAGUUUGGCGUACAAUCCUCAGACGUUGCUCAUGCUCCUUCUGGCUGCAUGAGUACACCAAUAUAUCAUCAAUGAAUACUAUGACAAAAGAAUCAAGAUAUUGAUGGAAUACAAUAUUCAUCAAAUGCAUGAAGGUUGCUGGGGCAUUGAUCAGCCCAAACGACAUCACAAGAAACUGAUAGUGACCAUAGCGGGUCCUGAAUGUCGUCUUCAAAAUAUCAGAAUUCCAAAUCUACAACUGGCGAUACCCAGACCUCAAAUCAAUCUUAUAGAACACUCUAGCACCCUGGAGCUGGUCAAAUAAGUCAUCAAUACGUGGUAAAAGAUACUUGUUCUUAAUUGUAACUUUGUUCAACUACUUGUAAUCAAUAUACAUCUGCAUAGUACCAUCUUUCCUCUUCACAAAUAGAACAGGUGCACCCUUAGGUGACAUAUUAGGCCUAAUGAAUCCCUUAUCAAGUACCUCUAGAAGUUAUUCUUUCAAUUCCUUCAGCUCUGCUGGUGCCAUGCGAUACGGUGGAAUAGAGAUGGGCCGAGUGCCCAACACUAGAUCAAUACCAAAAUCAAUGUCCCUGUCGGAUGGCAUGCCCGACAGGUCUGCAGGAAACACAUCUUGAAAAUUUCUCACUACCGGAAUAGACUCAUGGUAGGAGUAUCAGCACCAACAUCCCUCACAAAGGCUAAAUAUGCCAGACAUCCCUUCCCAACCAUCUAUUGGGCCUUCAAAUAUGAAAUCACUCUACUGGAAACAUAGUCCAGAGAACCUCUCCACUCAACCCUAGGCAAUCCCGGCAUCGUGAAGUCACAAUUUUAUCAUGACAAUCCAGAAUAACGUGACAUGGUGACAACCAAUCCAUGCCUAAAAUCAUGUCAAAAUCAACCAUGCUAAGCAGUAAAAGAUUAAUUCUCGUCUCUAAUCCUCCAAUAGUCACCACACACGACCGAUACACACGGUCCACAACAAUAAAAUCACCCACCGUUGUAGAUACAUGAACAUGCAUAACCAAGGAUUCACGGGGCAUAUCCAAAUAAUGAGCAAAGUAUGAUGAUACAUAUGAAUAAGUGGAAACAGGAUCAAACAAUACUAAAGCAUCCCUAUGACAUACUAAAAUAAUAUAUGUGAUCACAACAUCGGAAGCAAUUGCCUAUGGCAUGACUGGAAAUGCGUAGCAACGGCCCUAACCACCACCUGAUCAACCUCCCCCUCUAGGGCGGCCUCGAGCUGAAUGAACACACCCCGAGCUAGAUGUGCGGUGGUAUAGUUACUGGUGCUGGAAUCAUAGGUUGAGAACUCUAUUGUGGAAAUCUACCCAACAGUCUGAGGCAAUCCCUCUUGAGAUGACUCAAGUCCCCGCACUCAAAAUAAUCCCUUCUCUGGCGAAGCCACUGACCUUGAGGAUUUGAAUAGAUGCUCGUGGAACCCUUUGCAUAUGAAGCAUGGUAAGAACUCUAUGCCAGCAACGCACUGAAUGAUAACUGAGCUGGGCGGGCAUUGUAGGAAUUAUGGCUAACUAAAGAAACACGUGGAACAUUGCAAGCUUCCUGAACGGGUCUAGAAGAACGACCUCUACUGUAAUGGGACUGACAUCCAUAUGAGGCACUACUGAAAUCACCUAAACUACGAGACAUCUUGGCCUCCCACUCCUCACGCUCCCGCCUGUGAACCAACUCUAAGCGUCUAGCAAUAUCGACAGCCUCGUCAAACCUCGCACCCGUCGCAACCUCACGAGCCAUAAUGAAUUGUAAUCAUAGUUGAGACCAUCAAUGAACCUCCUAAUAUUCUCCCUUUCAGUAGGAACCAACCAUAUCACGUGAUGAGCCAAUGCUGAAAACUCAUCUCAUACUGAGUCACUGACAUACCCUCCUGGCGUAGCUGCUCAAAUUGCCUACGCAACUCCUAUUUGCGAGUCUGUAGGACAAACUUAUUUAAGAAGAGAAAUGAGAACACAUGAAAUAUAAGUGGCGUUGCAUCGAUUGGCCUACUUAACUCAUAAGUCUACCAUCAUCGGUAGGCUACCCCGGUCAGCUGAAAAGUAGUGAAUGAAACCCUACUGGUGUCCAAAAUACCGGAUAUGCGAAGAAUCCACUAACACCGGUCUAUAAAAUACUGAGCAUCUUUUGACUCUGCUCCACUGAAUUCUAAAGGCUUAAGCCUCCCAAACCGCUCCAUUCUUUUUUUGCUCCUCAUCACUCAUAUGGGGACCAACCUUGGCCCUAGCGGCAGCAACGGCUGAACUGGCAAUACACCCGUUAUCUGGAGUCCUUGAGUAAGCUGCCCUGGAGUACGAGCAGCAGGAGUCUGGACACCUCCUCCGGCCUGUGAAGUAGUUGGUGCAACUAGAACUGAGACUGCAUGAGUAAGACUCAUACACACAGUCAUAAUCUGGGUUAAGGCCUCCUAAAGGCCAGGAAUCACAAUGGGCACUGCUGGUGCCUGAGCUGGUCCCACCGGCUCACCCACAUCUAGUACUUGCUCCUAACCUGGUGCAACUGGUGGCUCCACAGGUGCUGCUCUGGAUGUAAUACGAGCCACACCCCGGCCUCUACCACUGUCAUACCUCUUUUUUUCUCGAGGAAUGGGCCAAAGGAGUUUUUCCAAUUAAAGUACAUUAUUUGAAAAGGGAUUAUUUAUUUAAUUUUAAGAGUCGUCACUUGGAAUAAUUAUUUAUGGCGUCCCAAGUCGCCAUUUAUUUUGAAUCCCAAAUCAAGGAAAAUUGACUUUGUUUAAGUCUGCGAAACACAGAAGACCGGGUAAGAAAUUUUGCUAACACGGGAGAAGGUAUGAGACAUUCCCGAGUUCCGUGGUUUUAGCACAGUUGCUCAACAAUUAUACCUAAUUCAGAUAUUUUGUAUUUAUGAGAACUUUAUGCCCUUUUGCCUUAAACCGCUUUUAAUUGCUUGAUUAUUUUGUAAUUAUGAAAUUAUCUUGAAACGAAUCGCGCGUACGUGUAUUCGUUUUGUUUGGCGUGUCAAGAAUCAUGCCACGCAUACAUGUACAUAAUUAAUAACACUCAAUUAUUAUUAAAAUUAUUUUGCCAAAGUCGCGCGAACGCAUACCUUGCCUUUAAUUUUAGAAAUUGUAACUAUGUCACGCAAACGUAUACAUAGCCAUGACAACUGAAUUGUUUGAAGUGUGCUUAUAAUCAUGCUAACGUUGCGCUUUUUACUUAGUUAGGGGGUGAUAGAGUUUUAUUUAUUAGGUACAAUUGGGCUAUCAUGUGGAUAUUUAUUCAAGGGAAUGGGCUUGGCAACAUUUCAGCUUAUUGGCCCAAUUUGUUUAUUCACUAAUUUUGACCCCAAAAUUUCCUAUAUCUCCCGAAUCUCUCUGCCUAUCUAUUCUCAACAAUCAAAAAUGACUUAUUCUUAAAGAAUUAAAUUGGAUCCAACCACAUGAAAAGUUUUAAACAUUUAAAUUAUAUUAAAUAAAGACAAAAACUAAUGAAAAGGAAAUUAGUCUGGCUAACAUGCUUUCAACCCAAAACAAAACGAAACAACGUAUAGAAAUAAGAAGAAAAAAACGUGAGAAGAGUAAAACAAUGAAGAAGAACUGGACCUUUUAUAACUUUCAAAAUAUCAAAGAUCUUCCAACUAGUUUAUAAGAAGAACACAGCGAUGAAGUUGAAACGAACAAACCCGUCACCCGGAUACCACGAACGGAAACUCGCCGGCGACCUCGACUGAAAGCUUUACUGUUUCGGCUGGGUUUGGAUGGUGGUUGGACACUGAAAUUUCAGGUGUUUGGCUGGAAUUUUAAAUGAGGUUUAUGAUUGGUUUAACUGGCGUUUCACGGCUGCGUUUUGGAGCCAAGAGUAAGGUUCUUUGGGGUUGUUUUCUGACUGUUUUGCGGUGGAGUUAGCAGCGAUUUGAGCUGCUGUUUUGGGGUGGUGUUAAUGGAGUUUCACUUCGUUUUUCAUGGUUGAAACUACUGCUUUAAUGAUGGUUGAGGGACUGAUUUACAGAGGCCGUUUGGAACUGUUUCUAUGGCUGGAUUUAUGGAGAAAAAAAAGCAGCUCCUCCUUAAAAUAUUGGACUCCCUCCCUUUCUCAAUCUUGUUCUUUUCUUUAAAUAGAAGAAAAAUUGAUGCCUUUCCCCGUGCAAAAGAAUUUAAAAAGGAUAAUAAGGGAUAUGGGGUUUGGGACUUUGACGCGAGGGAGUGGGGAAAUGGGGCUAGAAUAGUGGGGAGUUUAUUGUGAGGGAGUUGGGGACGUGAGGGAUUGAGGGGAAGGGCUAUAGG
rnacentral:lncRNA from 1 species